GUUGGGCAAAUGAGAAAGAAACCUUCUACAAAUGGGUAAUUUGCGUCUGAAUCAUGUUGAUGCUAUCACCUUGGAGAUUUGAUUCCUAUU